CCUAUUAUAAUAAUUUAAAUUAGUAUAAUAAGAAAUUAAAUGUUUAAUCAUUAAAUUUAAAAGAUUUGGCGGUAUUUUAUAUUAUUAGAGGAACCUGUGUAAUGAUUGAUAAUCCACGAUAAGAAAAACUUAAUUUAAAAUUUAUGUAUUGCUGUUUAAAGAUUAUUAUAAAUUAAAUUUUCAUAUUAUUAAAUUAUAAUUUAAUUCAAGUCAAAAUAUAGUUUAAUUAAGAUAAAUAUGGGUUACUAUAUUUUAAAAAUUUAUUGGAUAUUAAUAUAAUUUAAUUUUAUUUUGAAAUUGGAUUUAAUAGUAAAUUUAAUAAAUUAAUUAUUUUGAAAAAUUAAUAAAAUAAGUACAAAU
rnacentral:rRNA from 1 species